AUGGUCUCUCCCACCACCACCACCACCGUUACCACCACCACCACCCCACCAGAAUCCCACCACCACCAUCACCACCAUCACCACUGGCACUACCAUCACCACCACAAUCUCACCACCACCACCACCCCACCACCACCAUCACCACCAUCACUACCACCACAAUCCCACCACCACUAUCACCACCACCACCACCACCAUCACCACCACCACAAUCUCACCACCACCAUCACCACCAUCACCACCACCACAAGCCCACCACCACAAUCCCACCACCACCACCACCAUCACCACCAUCACCACCCCACCACCACCAUCACCACCACCACCCCACCACCACCAUCACCACCGCCACCAUCACCACCACCAUUACCACCACCACCAUCACCACCGCAAGCCCACCACCACCAUCCCACCACCACCAUCACCACCGCAAUCUCACCACCACCCCACCACCAUCACCACCACACCACCAUCACCAUCACCACCAUCACCACCACAACCCCACCACCACCACCCCUCCACCACCAUCACCACUGCCACCAUCACCACCACCAUUACCACCACUACCAUCACCACCACCACCACCAUCACCACCCCACCACCAUCACCAUCACAAUCUCACCACCACCCCACCACCAUCAUCACCACCGCCACCACCAUCACCAUCGCCACCACCAUCACCACCACCUCACCAACACCACCAUCACCACCACCUCACCAACACCACCAUCACCACCACCUCACCAACACCAUCACCACCACCCCACCACCACCACCACCACCAUCACCACCAUCACCCCACCAUCACUAUUACCCCACCAUCACCACUACCCCACCAUCACCACCACCAUUACCACCACCACCAUCACCACCACCCCACCACCACCAUCACCACCACCAUCACCACCAUCACCACCACCAUCACCACCAUCACCCCACCAUCACUAUUACCCCACCAUCACCACUACCCCACCAUCACCACCACCAUUACCACCACCACCAUCACCACCACCCCACCACCACCAUCACCACCACCAUCACCACCAUCACCACCACCAUCACCACCAUCACCCCACCAUCACUAUUACCCCACCAUCACCACUACCCCACCAUCACCACUACCAUCACCACCACCACCAGCAUCACCACCACCACCACCAAAACCACCAUCACCACCACCACCCCACCACCAUCACCACUACCACCAUCACUACCAUCACCAUCACUACCAUCACCACAACCCCACCACCACCACAACCCCACCAGAAUCCCACCACCACCACCACCACCAUCACUGCCACCACCACCACACAACCCCCACCACCACCACCACCAUCCCACCAUCACUACCAUCACCACCACAACCCCACCAACAUCACCACCCCCAUCACCACCCCACCACCACAACCCCACCACCACCAUCACCACCGCCACCAUCACCACCACCAUUACCACCACCACCAUCACCACCACAAGCCCACCACCACCAUCGCCACCAUCACCACCACCACAAUCCCACCACCACCAUCACCACCAUUACCACCACCCCACCCCGUGUGGCUUGCUUGGGCUUCCUCACAAUAUGGCGGUCUCAGGAUGUCAGGCUGUACAUGGCAGCCUGUUUCCAAGACAGAGUAUUAUAAGCAACAAAAGUGGAAUUUUCAGACCUUUUUACAUGGCCUUGGAAGUUAG
ensembl:lncRNA